CAAAUGGAUUUUUGGAAAUGAGGAAAGCUUUUCAGAGAAGCCUCCUGGAUGACUUCUCAACAUCACCUUGGCCAAAGUAAAGAGCCAUUUCUUAAGAUGCUUGGGAUAAACCUAACUGGUUUAGAGGACCUAUCAUCUGGGAUUGAAUGGGUUGCCAGCGGGGUCUCCAUGCCAGGAACACCUCAGGAUUCUGACUUUGAUAUUUUAUCGGCAAGAGUCAACAGAGCGGAGAGUGCCUCUAACGUCACCCACGGAAGGGCGAGGGACAUCCAUGACUUCCGGACUGCUUUUACAUGAAUGGGGAAGGAGAAGCACCAUAUUCAUUGAGACUCAAUUUUCUUUUUAAAUAGUGUCUGACAUUUAUUGAAAAUAAGAAAAGACUUUUUUCCAAGUAGUGUUGAGGAGCUGGGUGGAUAUCAGAGUUAUAUUGUUGAACAACAAACACAUAACUAAGAAAAUAUUCCAAAUUCAGAAGAGAACUGGAUUCUGGGCGAAACUAACAGGUCCACAGGAGACAAUGAGUGACUCGACGUGGUUGCCAGGAGCAGGAGCAGGAGCAGGAGCGGGAGCGGGAGCAGGAGAUGUCUCUGGGAGUAGGGAGGGAGUGGGCCCCGCUGACGGUGAAAGGCUGGCCGGCCCCUCCGCGGCGGUGGAGAGCUGUUGCAAUCAUCGUCUCGGGGGGCAGUGAGCAGCUCAGGCACCCCACCCCCCCGGGGGGGUGGUGGUGAGUCCAGAUCCCCGAAGGCUGCAGGGCGUCGGCGGGAGCGAUGCGGUGGACGGUGGGGGCACGGCAGCGGCAGCGCAGGUCUCUGGGCACCCGGAUGCCGGCCUGGGAGUCCGGCCAGGCGCCGGCGGUCGGCGGGCGCCGGGCUGCAGGUGGUCCGUCCCGCGUGUAACAGGAGCCCGGCUUGCAGCUGGAGCGCAGGACCGGGUCCAAGGGUGCACGGGAGGGGCCGGGCCGGCCCGAGAGGGCGGCGGCCGGUCCGCACCAGGCCUGGAGGCGGCGGAGGCGGCGGGAACCUGGAGCGCUAUUCCUGGAACAAAGGCAAGCACGACGCGGGAGGGGACACGAGCGCGCGGGGAGAGCGCGGCCACCCGAAGGGCCGGCCCGGUGAGGCGGGUGAUGAGGAACGUCACCUUCAGGCUGUCGUUGGAGAACAGGGUCUCGUCCACGAGCAUGUAGGCGCCCGUCUGCACGAUAAACUCCGGGAGCCGGUCGGUGUCGCCGUCAAACGUCUCGGGGAAGGGGAUCGGGUUCCUCCACCGACGCGUCUGGGGCCGGAUGGGUAAGGCCAGGAGGGCCUUGAUCAGCUGCACCCGGCCGUCCAUCGCGCCUCGCUCGCCUGGCUGGGCUGCAGGGGCCUCUCGGCGAGGUGGGCGAGGAGGCGG
rnacentral:lncRNA from 1 species